rnacentral:rRNA from 1 species
UGGGGAAUAUUGCACAAUGGGCGCAAGCCUGAUGCAGCCAUGCCGCGUGUGUGAAGAAGGCCUUCGGGUUGUAAAGCACUUUCAGCGAGGAGGAAGGUGGUGAGCUUAAUACGCUCAUCAAUUGACGUUACUCGCAGAAGAAGCACCGGCUAACUCCGUGCCAGCAGCCGCGGUAAUACGGAGGGUGCAAGCGUUAAUCGGAAUUACUGGGCGUAAAGCGCACGCAGGCGGUUUGUUAAGUCAGAUGUGAAAAUCCCCGGGCUCAACCUGGGAACUGCAUUUGAAACUGGCAAGCUAGAGUCUCGUAGAGGGGGGUAGAAUUCCAGGUGUAGCGGUGAAAUGCGUAGAGAUCUGGAGGAAUACCGGUGGCGAAGGCGGCCCCCUGGACGAAGACUGACGCUCAGGUGCGAAAGCGUGGGGCAGCAAACAGGAUUAGAUACCCUGGUAGUCCACGCUGUAAACGAUGUCGAUUUUGGAGGUUGUGCCCUUGAGGCGUGGCUUCCGGAGCUAACGCGUUAAAUCGACCGCCUGGGGAGUACGGCCGCAAGGUUAAAACUCAAAGGAAUUGAC